rnacentral:rRNA from 1 species
AGUGAACGCUGGCGGUAGGCCUAACACAUGCAAGUCGAACGGCAGCACAGUAAGAGCUUGCUCUUACGGGUGGCGAGUGGCGGACGGGUGAGGAAUACAUCGGAAUCUACUUUUUCGUGGGGGAUAACGUAGGGAAACUUACGCUAAUACCGCAUACGACCUACGGGUGAAAGCAGGGGAUCUUCGGACCUUGCGCGAUUGAAUGAGCCGAUGUCGGAUUAGCUAGUUGGCGGGGUAAAGACCCACCAAGGCGACGAUCCGUAGCUGGUCUGAGAGGAUGAUAAGCCACACUGGAAAUGAGACACGGUCCAGACUCCUACGGGAGGCAGCAGUGGGGAAUAUUGGACAAUGGGCGCAAGCCUGAUCCAGCCAUACCGCGUGGGUGAAGAAGGCCUUCGGGUUGUAAAGCCCUUUUGUUGGGAAAGAAAAGCAGCAGGUUAAUACCCCGCUGUUCUGACGGUACCCAAAGAAUAAGCACCGGCUAACUUCGUG